GUUUUGUUUUGUUUGUUUUGCACACAGAAAUCCUCAGACCAAAGCAAACAGUGCCACAGAAAAAUGUUGCAAUUCAACCCAGUUUUGAGGGAAGUGCCCCUGAUAACUUCUGAGCUCCAAAGAGAAGCAGUGGAGGCUGGGGCCACCGAGUCUCCAUGGAAAUCACAGAGGGUCUCACCAGGUCCAUCCAAAAUGAGAUGAGCAUGUUUGAGCUGUGUUUGCACUGUCUGGCCAGGAAGAGAGGGCUCAUCUCUGCCACAAAGAUCUCAGUGUGGUUUGUGCUCAAGUGGGAUCCUCAUCUGGGAUCUACCCAAGAGCUACAUCAUACUGUUAGAGAUAGGAAAGCUUCAUAAAGGGAAGACUUUGAAUCAGGAGUCUGCUGUCAUUGCAACAUUUAUCGCCAUGAUUCACCUACCUCCAGUGUUACUGCAAAUCCGGGCAAAGUGUGAAAUGAUUCUCUCUCUUAUCUUUGAGGAAGUGCAACAUGCUCUGACCAUGUUGACUCUGAACGUCAGCUCUACCCUGCUUUGGACCACAGAAAUUGUCAGGAUUUUUGGAAAAGCUCAAUAAGCCUCACCACAAACCUCAACACCACAAUCUAGCCAAUUGAUUUUUGAAGUGCUUUGGGAACAAUUUGGGUUGUUUUUCUUUUCACCUUAUGCAGCUCCAUAGAAACCCUUGGAGUUCUGCAGGUAUAUACCAA
rnacentral:lncRNA from 12 species